CCUACGGGGGGCAGCAGUGAGGAAUAUUGGUCAAUGGGCGCGAGCCUGAACCAGCCAAGUCGCGUGAGGGAUGACGGCCCUACGGGUUGUAAACCUCUUUUGCCGGGGAGCAACGGGCGCCACGUGUGGCGCCACUGAGAGUACCCGGAGAAAAAGCAUCGGCUAACUCCGGGCCAGCAGCCGCGGUAAUACGUAGGUGGCAAGCGUUGUCCGGAUUUACUGGGUGUAAAGGGCGUGCAGCCGGGAAGACAAGUCAGAUGUGAAAUCCCGCGGCUCAACCGCGGAACUGCAUUUGAAACUGUUUUUCUUGAGUAUCGGAGAGGUAAUCGGAAUUCCUAGUGUAGCGGUGAAAUGCGUAGAUAUUAGGAAGAACACCAGUGGCGAAGGCGGAUUACUGGACGACAACUGACGGUGAGGCGCGAGAGCGUGGGGAGCAAACAGGAUUAGAUACCCCUGGUAGUC
rnacentral:rRNA from 1 species